UUUUAAGAAUAGAAUUUUUUUGUUAUCUUUUUCUUUUCGACAACUAUUAUUUGAAAAGGCUUAAUUAUCUUUUUUAGUCUUUAAAAUAUGUAACUUGUACAAUUUUAAUUCUCAGUAUUUAAAUUGUAACAAUAUAUAAAAAGUGUUUUAAUUUGAUUCUCAAUCUAAUUUUAUCAAUAGAUAAAAUUGAAAUUACUUUUAAAAAAAUUUAUAAAGAGACCAGGAUGACCUAUCAAAAUAAACAAAAUUAAAUCCAUGGUCAAUCCUACAAGCUGAAUUGUUCCAAUCCACUUCCAAACUAGAGGGAGGCCUCUCCUUCAUUUUAUUUUUUUGUGUGUACAUUUUUAUGAAUUUUAAAUAAUAGGGAAAUCAUGAAAAUUAGGGACCACUGAGAAAUUACUAAAUAAGAAGAAUCAAUGUGUGUGGACAUAAACAUUUAUGACUCAGACACACACAUAAGUGACAGAAUUGAGUUUGCGGAGGAGAUUAGGUUUUGUCCACCUCUGUAACUGUUUUUCUUUAUAGCUUUGUUUAUAUAUACAGAUACUAGAAGACGAGUACACCCAUACCUACUCUGCAAUUAUAGGUAUCCAUAGAUAUAUUUUGAAUUGGGAUCUGGUUUGUCUUGGAAUGUGAGAACACUACGAGUUCUAUUUUAUUUAUUUUGUAAAGCAUUACGUAUAUAUUACCUUAAAGAAAAUUAUGUUUAUUUAAUAAUAGUAACGUUUUUAUUUUAUAGUGUUUGCCUUUAAAAUAAUAGAUAAUUUAUUUUCUAAAGAACAAUGCUCAACAUAAUCACAUUUCUUAUCUCAAUUUCUCACUCCUAAAUAUAAAACAAUAGAAUCCAUAUUAAUAAAUGCACAUGGAAUCCACUCUAGGAGUGGGUAUCGGUCUGUUGGCCCGUCUAAUUCAAUCUUAUUUUUUUUUAGAGUUUGAGAAGGUUAUUUUAACUCAUAGGGUUGGGUCAGGCCAACAUUUUCAGUUUGAUAUAUUAAUGAACUGGACUUGAGAUUUAUACUUUCAACUUACCUCGCCCGGCUCGCUAUUAAAUUAAUUAAUUAAUUAUAAUAUAUUAAAAUAUAUAUUUUGUGUUGAGAUUUAGAUUUAUAUUUAUUGAUUUUAUUGAAACUUACAUUUGUGGUGAUACUUGAUUGAAUUUAUUUAACAAAUUCUUCAAUUUAUACACAAAAUUGUAUAAUUUAUAAUGAUGUCCGUAUAUUUAUUUAAGAAAUAUAAUGUGUGAUUUAAUUUAAUUAUAGAAUAUUUUUUUAAAAAAUUAACAUAUAGCUCAAUGGGUGUAUUUGGAAUUUAUAAUUAUUUUUUGGGCUAGCCUUGCUCAGAUGUAGAGACUUGAUGUUAUGGCCAGGCCAGGUUUAGGCAGACAUAAAAUCCCUUGUUAUGUAGUGCUGGCCUAAAGUGACAAUGUCCACGCCUAAUCCACUCAUUUGUAUCUAGGAGUAAGAAAUGAGAUAAGAAAUAAGAUUAUAUGUAACAUUUUUUUAAAAAUAAACACAUUUGUUAUUUAUUUUUAAAAAAAACAAACGUGAUAAAAUAGAGAUGGUACGACUAUCAAACCGAUCCAACUUUUGGGUUAGUUAUACAUUUUUCCUUUAUAGUUCAACUCAAAUUUCAUUUUGAUCUUUCUGAUUUUAAAUUGAACAGUUUAGUCCUAACACUUUAAGGCCCUGUUUGUUUGGGGUUAUAGGGAGAUGAUUGGGUUUGAUAGUGAGGAGGGGAUUGAGAAUGGGGUGUUUGUUUUGAGAGAUAGUGAGGGGACUAGUAAUCCCUUGGGACUAGUAAGGAGGAGGAAGGGGGGUUGGUAAGAAGGAGGUAGAGAUGAUAUUAGAAAAAUAGUGAGGAGAUUAGAAAUUUUUUUACUUUUUUUAUUUUUUAUAUAUUGAGAAUUUUUUUUAAAUAUUAAUGUUUAAUUUUUAUAUUUUUUAUUUGUUUUAUUAUU